GACGAACGCUGGCGGCGUGCCUAAUACAUGCAAGUAGGACGCAGUUGGGAACGGGAGAGUAACGCGUAGGUAACUGCAUAUUAGAGGGGGCUAACUAUUGGAAACGAUAGCUAAUACCGCAUACUAGUAGAUGGACCUGCGAUGUAGUAGCUAGUAGGUAGGGUAAUGGCCUACCUAGGCGGCGAUACAUAGCCGAGCUGAGAAGGUGGUCGGCCACACUUGGACUGAGAAACGGCCCCGAAUCCUACGGGGGGGAGCAGUAGGGAAUCUUCGGCCAUGGGGGGAACGCCUACCGAGCAACGCCGCGGGAGUGAAGAAGGUUUUCGGGUCGUUAAGCUCUGUUGUUAAGGAAGCGGUACUUAACCAGAAAGGGACGGCUAACUACGUGCCAGCAGCCGCGGUAAUUC
rnacentral:rRNA from 1 species